AUGCUCACUUCGGCAGCACAUAUACUAAAAUUGGAACGAUACAAAGAAGAUUAAGAUGGCCCCUGUGAAUGGUACACAAAUUUGUGAAGUAUUCCAUACUUAA
rnacentral:snRNA from 1 species